GCGUUGACACAUAAUUGACAUGGCGGAAUCCCAUACUAGCUUGGACCGCGGUAGACGCUGCAGUCUGGGAAUGGCUACAUUUUGAUUCAAGAUUGGGAAAAAAAGUGGAUACACGCCUCGAUCGUCAAAGAUUUCGCAAUUCAAAGAAAGGGGGUCCUGGAGAGGUCUCCAUGAAUGUACGUCACAAUGAUGAUGACGGACCAGAUGCUGGACCUUCCGCCGCCGCUGCUGAACGGCGAGGUUCCCGUGAUGCACCCCAUGAUGAAUGGGGACUCAUCGCAGCAGGUGAUUGUGGUCCAGGUGAACCCAGGCGAGACGUUCACCAUCCGGGCAGAGGACGGGAGUCUGCAGUGCAUACAAGGUCGGUAUCCAAGACACACACACACACACACACACACACACCAUCUCCCCUCACACACACACACACACCACAACAUGGCCUUCAGGGCUCACUUUGCUGUGACAUCAUCCAGUUUGGACUGGGCCUCAAUGGAGACUUGAUGGCAAGCAUUAAGAAAAAAAAAAAAAGAAAU